rnacentral:SRP_RNA from 1 species
GGCCGGGCGCGAUGCAGCGGUCGGCUGCGAACCGGGUCAGGUCCGAAAGGAAGCAGCCCUAAGCAGUACCGGCCGUGUGCCGUCGAUGUCCCGGCCGCC